GAUGAACGCUGGCGGCGUGCUUAACACAUGCAAGUCGAACGAAGCACUCUACUUGAUCUCUUCGGAGUGAUUGUUUUGUGACUGAGUGGCGGACGGGUGAGUAACGCGUGGGUAACCUGCCUCAUACAGGGGGAUAACAGUUGGAAACGACUGCUAAUACCGCAUAAGCGCACAGCAUCGCAUGAUGCAGUGUGAAAAACUCCGGUGGUAUGAGAUGGACCCGCGUCUGAUUAGCCAGUUGGUGGGGUAACGGCCUACCAAAGCGACGAUCAGUAGCCGACCUGAGAGGGUGACCGGCCACAUUGGGACUGAGACACGGCCCAAACUCCUACGGGAGGCAGCAGUGGGGAAUAUUGCACAAUGGGGGAAACCCUGAUGCAGCGACGCCGCGUGAGCGAAGAAGUAUUGCGGUAUGUAAAGCUCUAUCAGCAGGGAAGAAGAAAUGACGGUACCUGACUAAGAAGCACCGGCUAAAUACGUGCCAGCCGCCGCCGUAA
rnacentral:rRNA from 1 species